rnacentral:rRNA from 1 species
CCAGGACUUUUACUUUGAGGAAAUUAGAGUGUUUCAAGCAGGCUCAUGCCUUGAAUACAUUAGCAUGGAAUAAUAAGAUAAGGCCUUGGUUUCAUUUUGUUGGUUUCUAGAACUGAGGUAAUGAUGAACAGGGAUACUUGGGGGCAUACGAAUUUAACUGUCAGAGGUGAAAUUCUUGGAUUUGUUAAAGACGGACUACUGUGAAAGCAUUUGCCAAGAAUGUUUUCAUUGAUCAAGAAUGAAAGUUAGGGG